rnacentral:rRNA from 1 species
UACGGGGGGGGCAAGCGUUGUUCGGAAUUACUGGGCGUAAAGGGCUCGUAGGCGGCCAACUAAGUCAUACGUGAAAUCCCUCAGCUUAACUGGGGAACUGCGUGUGAUACUGGAUGGCUUGGAUUCGGGAGAGGAAUGCGGAAUUCCAGGUGUAGCGGUGAAAUGCGUAGAUAUCUGGAGGAACACCGGUGGCGAAGGCGGCAUUCUGGACCGAUAUUGACGCUGAGGAGCGAAAGCCAGGGGAGCAAACGGG